rnacentral:tRNA from 1 species
GGGCCGGUCGUCUAGACUGGUAGGAUACGCCCUUGGCAUGGGCGAGAUCGUGGGUUCAAAUCCCACCCGGUCCACCA